ACAGAGGGUACAAGCGUUGUUCGGAAUUAUUGGGCGUAAAGGGUGCGUAGGUGGCUUUUCAAGUUGGAUGUGAAAUCCCUGAGCUUAACUCAGGAACGGCAUCCAAAACUGCUAAGCUAGAGUUUAGUAGAGGGGAAUGGAAUUCCUGGUGUAGGGGUAAAAUCCGUAGAUAUCAGGAGGAACACCGGUGGUGAAGACGGUUCCCUAGACUAAAUCUGACACUGAGGCACGAAAGCGUGGGGAGCAAACAG
rnacentral:rRNA from 1 species